ACCGGAUGCAAACCUAUUUAUAUUCUCUCCUUAAUUCCCCGUCUGUCUCGUCCGCCUCUUCCUUCCCCUCCCCCUUCUUCCCGAGCUCCAGCCGGUCUCCCCGUCGCUUCCUCCCACACAAACCCUAACCCUAGCCACCGCCGCCGCCGCCAUGGCCAGUGGCAACGUCUCCACCGUCUACAUCUCCGUCAUCGACGAUGUCAUCGCGAAAGUCCGCGAGGAGUUCAUCAGCUACGGGGUCGGCGACGCCGUCCUCAACGAGCUCCAGGCUCUCUGGGAAAUGAAGAUGCUGCAGUGCGGCGCAAUCUCGGGAAAUAUCGACCGCGCCAGGGCUCCUGCCGCGCCCGGUGCCGGUGGCGGAGGCGCUCCCGGUGCCGGCUCGACUCCGCCCGUGCACGACCUCAACGUGCCCUACGAGGCCACAUCCGAGGAGUACGCCACCCCAACCGCCGACAUGCUGUUCCCACCGACGCCGCUUCAGACUCCGAUCCAGACACCACUUCCAGGGACGGAGGCAGGCAUGUACAACAUACCCACGGGGCCUUCUGACUAUGCCCCAUCACCGAUCAGUGACAUGAGAAAUGGCAUGGCGAUGAAUGGGUCUGAUCCAAAAACUGGCCGCCCAAGCCCUUACAUGCAACCACCGUCGCCGUGGAUGAAUCAGAGACCACUGGGGGUUGAUGUGAAUGUUGCUUAUGAGGAAACCCGUGAGGAUCCAGAUAGGGCCGUGCAACCUCCGCAAAUGACUAAGGAUUUUCUGAUGAUGUCUUCUGGAAAACGCAAGAGAGAUGAAUAUCCUGGUCAGCUCCCGUCUGGUUCCUUUAUGCCACAACAGGAUGGAAAUUCAGACGAGAUUGUUGAAUUUGUGGUGUCAAAGGAUAACGCACAACAAGUGUGGAAUUCCAUCAUGAACAAGCAAGAAUCAGCAACUAAGGCAUCUUCUACCCAAGAAACAACAAUGACUCAAGUUCUUCCGCAACGUGAUGGGAUACAAGAUGAAUAUAAUGAUCAAUUUUUCUUCCCAGGAGUUCCAACCGAGGAUUACAAUACCCCUGGGGAAUCUUCGGAGUAUCGAACUCCCACACCUGCUGUUGCAACACCAAAACCAAGAAAUGACACAGGGGAUGAUGAUGAUGAUGAACCUCCUCUUAAUGAAGAUGAUGACGACGAUGAUGAGUUAGAUGACUUGGAGCACGAGCCUGACGAACCUAACACACAGCACCUUGUACUCGCACAAUUUGACAAAGUGACAAGAACAAAGAAUCGCUGGAAGUGCACUUUGAAGGAUGGAAUCAUGCAUUUGAAUGGCAGAGAUGUUCUAUUCAACAAGCAUGUAAAAAACCGAAGACAACAAAAAAAAAUUGUAUCCCAAGAUAGAUGAGUGGCUGCUGCCCUAGAUCUGGAUGGACCUAGGUCUAGCGAGCACUUACCGCGUCAGGGGAGUUUGAUUUUUGAAUUUUGUGGUAAAGACGAGCUAUGUUAGGAGCUGCUGUACGGACGUGUCUGUCUUUAACAUAAGAAUGGAGAGGUGACAAUGCUGGUGUGGUGGCGAGUCUGGCACUAUGAUUUUGUGUCCUUGUUUUCUUGUUGAGGCUUGCUUCACCCUCAGUGGUGUGUUACCAUAACUGCUGUCACUGUAAAAAUGUUACAGUUGGGACUGUUGUAGACAUUUUCUUGAGAUGGUCAGUUAAAGCUGGUGCGGAACUAUCUUAUCUGAUUUAGAUCCUCCGUUUCUCCUACUAGGUGAUAUUUAAGAAGAGAUAGUUUGCUGUA